rnacentral:snoRNA from 1 species
CCCAGCUCUAGGCAGCUGCCCAGGUUGCACUGUACCUGGGCAAGUGUGACACUGCUGGGAGCAACACAGCCAAUAGCUGGCAGGCAUUCUGGGCCUGUUUAAUGUAAAAU